UACGGAGGAUGCAAGCGUUAUCCGGAAUCAUUGGGCGUAAAGAGCGUGUAGGCGGUCCGGUAAGUCCGCUGUGAAAGUCGGGGGCUCAACCCUCGAAUGCCGGUGGAUACUGUCGGGCUAGAGUGCGGAAGAGGCGAGUGGAAUUCCUGGUGUAGCGGUGAAAUGCGCAGAUAUCAGGAGGAACACCUAUUGCGAAGGCAGCUCGCUGGGACGUAACUGACGCUGAGACGCGAAAGCGUGGGGAGCAAACAGG
rnacentral:rRNA from 1 species